UACGGAGGGUGCAAGCGUUGUCCGGAAUUAUUGGGCGUAAAGAGCUUGUAGGCGGUUUGUCGCGUCUGCUGUGAAAAUCCGGGGCUCAACCCCGGACUUGCAGUGGGUACGGGCAGACUAGAGUGUGGUAGGGGAGACUGGAAUUCCUGGUGUAGCGGUGAAAUGCGCAGAUAUCAGGAGGAACACCGGUGGCGAAGGCGGGUCUCUGGGCCGAUACUGACGC
rnacentral:rRNA from 1 species